GGGUCAGUAGGUUGGUCGUGCCACCGGUACGUACUGGUCUCACUGAUUCCUCCUUCCUGAAGAACCGUAAUGCCAUUAAUUUGGUGUUGCGGGGAAACAGGACUGUUACUUUGAAAAAAUUAGAGUGUUUAAAGCAAGCUAACGCUUGAAUACAUUAGCAUGGAAUAAUGAAAUAGGACGUUCGAUCCUAUUCUGUUGGUUUCUAGGAUUGACGUA
rnacentral:rRNA from 1 species